GGUUAAGUGACUAAGCGUACACGGUGGAUGCCUUGGCAGUCAGAGGCGAUGAAGGACGUAUUAACUUGCGAUAAGCCCAGAUUAGGCAGUAAAAGCCACUUGAGUCUGGGAUUUCCGAAUGGGGAAACCCACUAGCAUAAGCUAGUAUCGCUGCGUGAAUACAUAGCGCAGCGAGGCGAACCGGGGGAACUGAAACAUCUAAGUACCCCGAGGAAAAGAAAUCAACCGAGAUUCCGAAAGUAGCGGCGAGCGAAAUUGGACUAGCCCUUAAGCUUUAUAUGCGUUAGACGAACGGUCUGGAAAGUCCGGCGAUACAGGGUGAUAGCCCCGUAGUUGACAACGCACAUUCAGUGAAAUCGAGUAGGGCGGGACACGUGAUAUCCUGUCUGAAUAUGGGGGGACCAUCCUCCAAGGCUAAAUACUACUGACUGACCGAUAGUGAACCAGUACCGUGAGGGAAAGGCGAAAAGAACCCCUGUGAGGGGAGUGAAAUAGAACCUGAAACCGUGUACGUACAAGCAGUAGGAGCAGGCUUUGUCCUGUGACUGCGUACCUUUUGUAUAAUGGGUCAGCGACUUAUAUUCAGUGGCAAGGUUAACCAUCUAGGGGAGCCGUAGGGAAACCGAGUCUUAACUGGGCGUUCAGUCUCUGGAUAUAGACCCGAAACCAGGUGAUCUAGCCAUGGGCAGGUUGAAGGUUGAGUAACAUCAACUGGAGGACCGAACCGACUAAUGUUGAAAAAUUAGCGGAUGACUUGUGGCUAGGGGUGAAAGGCCAAUCAAACCUGGAGAUAGCUGGUUCUCCCCGAAAGCUAUUUAGGUAGCGCCUCGGACGAAUACUACUGGGGGUAGAGCACUGUUAAGGCUAGGGGGUCAUCCCGACUUACCAACCCUUUGCAAACUCCGAAUACCAGUAAGUACUAUCCGGGAGACACACGGCGGGUGCUAACGUCCGUCGUGGAGAGGGAAACAACCCAGACCGCCAGCUAAGGUCCCAAAUUACUACUAAGUGGGAAACGAUGUGGGAAGGCUCAGACAGCCAGGAUGUUGGCUUAGAAGCAGCCAUCAUUUAAAGAAAGCGUAAUAGCUCACUGGUCGAGUCGGCCUGCGCGGAAGAUGUAACGGGGCUAAGUAGUAAACCGAAGCUGCGGCAAUGUGCUUUUGCACAUUGGGUAGGGGAGCGUUCUGUAAGCGGUUGAAGGUGUGUGGUAACGCAUGCUGGACGUAUCAGAAGUGCGAAUGCUGACAUGAGUAACGAUAAAGGGGGUGAAAAACCUCCUCGCCGGAAGACCAAGGGUUCCUGUCCAACGUUAAUCGGGGCAGGGUAAGUCGACCCCUAAGGCGAGGCCGAAAGGCGUAGUCGAUGGGAAACGGGUUAAUAUUCCCGUACUUCUUACAAUUGCGAUGGGGGGACGGAGAAGGCUAGGUGGGCCUGGCGACGGUUGUCCAGGUUCAAGUGCGUAGGCUUAAGAGUUAGGUAAAUCCGGCUCUUUCUAAGGCUGAGACACGACGUCGAGCUACUACGGUAGUGAAGUCAUUGAUGCCAUGCUUCCAGGAAAAGCCUCUAAGCUUCAGAUUGUAAGGAAUCGUACCCCAAACCGACACAGGUGGUCGGGUAGAGAAUACCAAGGCGCUUGAGAGAACUCGGGUGAAGGAACUAGGCAAAAUGGUACCGUAACUUCGGGAGAAGGUACGCUCUCGACGGUGAAGUCCCUCGCGGAUGGAGCUAUUGAGAGUCGCAGAUACCAGGUGGCUGCAACUGUUUAUUAAAAACACAGCACUGUGCAAAAUCGUAAGAUGACGUAUACGGUGUGACGCCUGCCCGGUGCCGGAAGGUUAAUUGAUGGGGUUAGACUUCGGUCGAAGCUCUUGAUCGAAGCCCCGGUAAACGGCGGCCGUAACUAUAACGGUCCUAAGGUAGCGAAAUUCCUUGUCGGGUAAGUUCCGACCUGCACGAAUGGCGUAAUGAUGGCCACGCUGUCUCCACCCGAGACUCAGUGAAAUUGAAAUCGCUGUGAAGAUGCAGUGUACCCGCGGCUAGACGGAAAGACCCCGUGAACCUUUACUACAGCUUGGCACUGAACAUUGACCCUACAUGUGUAGGAUAGGUGGGAGGCUUUGAAGACGGUACGCCAGUAUCGUUGGAGCCGUCCUUGAAAUACCACCCUUGUAGUGUUGAUGUUCUAACGUUGACCCCUUAUCGGGGUUACGGACAGUGCCUGGUGGGUAGUUUGACUGGGGCGGUCUCCUCCCAAAGAGUAACGGAGGAGCACGAAGGUGGGCUAAUCACGGUUGGACAUCGUGAGGUUAGUGCAAUGGCAUAAGCCCGCUUGACUGCGAGAAUGACAAUUCGAGCAGGUGCGAAAGCAGGUCAUAGUGAUCCGGUGGUUCUGAAUGGAAGGGCCAUCGCUCAACGGAUAAAAGGUACUCCGGGGAUAACAGGCUGAUACCGCCCAAGAGUUCAUAUCGACGGCGGUGUUUGGCACCUCGAUGUCGGCUCAUCACAUCCUGGGGCUGAAGUCGGUCCCAAGGGUAUGGCUGUUCGCCAUUUAAAGUGGUACGCGAGCUGGGUUUAGAACGUCGUGAGACAGUUCGGUCCCUAUCUGCCGUGGGCGUUGGAAGAUUGAAGGGGGCUGCUCCUAGUACGAGAGGACCGGAGUGGACGAACCUCUGGUGUUCGGGUUGUGUCGCCAGACGCAUUGCCCGGUAGCUAAGUUCGGAAUCGAUAACCGCUGAAAGCAUCUAAGCGGGAAGCGAGCCCUGAGAUGAGUCUUCCCUGAUACUUUAAGUAUCCUAAAGGGUUGUCGGAGACUACGACGUUGAUAGGUCAGGUGUGUAAGUGCUGUGAGGCAUUGAGCUAACUGAUACUAAUUGCCCGUGAGGCUUAACCAU
rnacentral:rRNA from 1 species